rnacentral:rRNA from 1 species
UACGUAGGCAGCGAGCGUUGUUCGGAAUUACUGGGCGUAAAGAGUGUGUAGGCGGUGUUCCCAGUCUGUUGUGAAAUCUCCCGGCUUAACUGGGAGGGUGCAGCGGAAACUAGAAUGCUAGAGGGUGGGAGAGGUAAGCGGAAUUCCAGGUGUAGCGGUGAAAUGCGUAGAUAUCUGGAGGAACACCGGUGGCGAAGGCGGCAUUCUGGACCAUUACUGACGCUGAGGAGCGAAAGCCAGGGGAGCAAACAGGG